rnacentral:rRNA from 1 species
CUACGGGGCGCUGCAGUGGGGAAUAUUGCACAAUGGGCGCAAGCCUGAUGCAGCCAUGCCGCGUGUAUGAAGAAGGCCUUCGGGUUGUAAAGUACUUUCAGCGGGGAGGAAGGGAGUAAAGUUAAUACCUUUGCUCAUUGACGUUACCCGCAGAAGAAGCACCGGCUAACUCCGUGCCUGCAGCCGCGGUAAUACGGAGGGUGCAAGCGUUAAUCGGAAUUACUGGGCGUAAAGCGCACGCAGGCGGUUGUUAAGUCAGAUGUGAAAUCCCCGGGCUCAACCUGGGAACUGCAUCUGAUACGGGCAAGCUUGAGUCUCGUAGAGGGGGGUAGAAUUCCAGGUGUAGCGGUGAAAUGCGUAGAGAUCUGGAGGAAUACCGGUGGCGAAGGCGGCCCCCUGGACGAAGACUGACGCUCAGGUGCGAAAGCGUGGGGAGCAAACAGGAUUAGAUACCCCAGUAGUC